rnacentral:rRNA from 1 species
AGCGAACGUUAGCGGCGCGCUUAACACAUGCAAGUCGCACGAGAAAGGGCUUCGGCCCCGGUAAAGUGGCGCACGGGUGCGUAACACGUAGGCAAUCUUCCCUUGAGCGGGGGAUAACGUUUCGAAAGAGACGCUAAUACCGCAUAAGACCACGUCCAGUUCGCUGGAUGCGGUCAAAGCUGGCCUCUUCUUGAAAGCUAGCACUUAAGGACGAGCCUGCGGCCCAUCAUGCUAGUUGGUAGUGUAACGGACUACCAAGGCGAAGACGGG